GCUUCUAGUGAGAAAGUAACUGCCCGUACCGCAAACCGACACAGGUAGUUGAGGAGAGAAUCCUAAGGUGUGCGAGAGAACUCUCGUUAAGGAACUCGGCAAAAUGACCCCGUAACUUCGGGAGAAGGGGUGCUGACCGCAAGGUCAGCCGCAGUGAAUAGGCCCAAGCGACUGUUUAUCAAAAACACAGGUCUCUGCAAAAUCGAAAGAUGACGUAUAGGGGCUGACGCCUGCCCGGUGCUGGAAGGUUAAGAGGAGAGGUUAGCGCAAGCGAAGCUUUGAAUUGAAGCCCCAGUAAACGGCGGCCGUAACGAUAACGGUCCUAAGGUAGCGAAAUUCCUUGUCGGGUAAGUUCCGACCCGCACGAAAGGCGUAACGAUUUGGGCACUGUCUCAACGAGAGACUCGGUGAAAUUAUAGUACCAGUGAAGAUGCUGGUUACCCGCGACAGGACGGAAAGACCCCAUGGAGCUUUACUGCAGUUUGAUAUUGCGUGUUUGUAUCACAUGUACAGGAUAGGUAGGAGCCGAAGAUACCGGGACGCCAGUCUCGGAGGAGGCAACGGUGGGAUACUACCCUUGUGAUAUGACCACUCUAACCCGCUGCUCUUAGCGAGCAGGGAGACAGUGUCAGACGGGCAGUUUGACUGGGGCGGUCGCCUCCAAAAAUGUAACGGAGGCGCCCAAAGGUUCCCUCAGAAUGGUUGGAAAUCAUUCGUAGAGUGUAAAGGCAGAAGGGAGCUUGACUGCGAGACCUACAAGUCGAGCAGGGACGAAAGUCGGGCUUAGUGAUCCGGUGGUUCCGCAUGGAAGGGCCAUCGCUCAACGGAUAAAAGCUACCCUGGGGAUAACAGGCUUAUCUCCCCCAAGAGUUCACAUCGACGGGGAGGUUUGGCACCUCGAUGUCGGCUCAUCGCAUCCUGGGGCUGUAGUCGGUCCCAAGGGUUGGGCCGUUCGCCCAUUAAAGCGGUACGCGAGCUGGGUUCAGAACGUCGUGAGACAGUUCGGUCCCUAUCCGUCGCGGGCGUUGGAAAUUUGAGAGGAGCUGUCCUUAGUACGAGAGGACCGGGAUGGACACACCGCUGGUGUACCAGUUGUUCUGCCAAGAGCAUCGCUGGGUAGCUAUGUGUGGACGGGAUAAACGCUGAAAGCAUCUAAGCGUGAAGCCCCCCUCAAGAUGAGAUUUCCCAUCACUUUAAGUGAGUAAGACCCCUGAGAGAUGAUCAGGUAGAUAGGUUGGGAGUGGAAGUACAGCGAUGUAUGGAGCGGACCAAUACUAAUCGGUCGAGGACUUAACCAA
rnacentral:rRNA from 1 species